AUUGAACGCUGGCGGCAGGCCUAACACAUGCAAGUCGAGCGGAUGAAGGGAGCUUGCUCCUGGAUUCAGCGUCGGACGGGUGAGUAAUGCCUAGGAAUCUGCCUGGUUGUGGUGGAUAACGUCCGGAGACGGGCGCUACUACCGCAUACUUCCUGCGGGUGCAAGUGGGGGGUCUUCGGACCUCACGCUCUCAGAUGAGCCUAGGUCGGAUUAGAUAGUUGGUGGGGUAAAGGCCUACCUAGGCGACGAUCCGUAACUGGUCUGAGAGGAUGAUCAGUCACAUGGGAACGGGGACACGGUCAAGACGACUAAGGGAGGGAGCAGUGGGGAAUAGGGGACAAUGGGCGAAAGCAUGAUACAGCCAGGCCGCGUGUGUGAAGAAGGUCUUCGGAGUGUAAAGAAGUUUAAGUGGGGAGGAAGGGCAGUAAGUUAAUACCUAGCUGGUGUGACGGUACCAACAGAAUAAGCACCGGCUAACUACGUG
rnacentral:rRNA from 1 species